rnacentral:snoRNA from 1 species
ACGGACUGAUGAAUUUAAUCUCAUGGAAUCUCAUUCGUCUGAAUAAUUCUGAUGAGACUUAUUAUCUGACUGUU